UACAGAGGGGGCAAGCGUUGUUCGGAAUUACUGGGCGUAAAGGGCGCGUAGGCGGCCUUCUAAGUCGAACGUGAAAUCCCCGGGCUCAACCCGGGAAACUGCGUCCGAUACUGGAAGGCUUGAAUCCGGGAGAGGGAUGCGGAAUUCCAGGUGUAGCGGUGAAAUGCGUAGAUAUCUGGAGGAACACCGGUGGCGAAGGCGGCAUCCUGGGACCGGCAUUGACGCUGAGG
rnacentral:rRNA from 1 species